rnacentral:rRNA from 1 species
AAGCGUUGUUCGGAAUUAUUGGGCGUAAAGCGCGUGUAGGCGGUUUGUUAAGUCUGAUGUGAAAGCCCCGGGCUCAACCUGGGAAGUGCAUUGGAAACUGGCAGACUUGAAUACGGGAGAGGGUAGUGGAAUUCCUAGUGUAGGAGUGAAAUCCGUAGAUAUUAGGAGGAACACCGGUGGCGAAGGCGGCUGCCUGGACCGAUAUUGACGCUGAGACGCGAAAGCGUGGGGAGCAAACAGGAUUAGAUACCCUGGUAGUCCACGCCGUAAACGAUGAGUACUAGGUGUUGCGGGUAUUUGACCCCUGCAGUGCC